rnacentral:sRNA from 1 species
GCUGGGCACAGUGGCGCACGCCUGUAAUCCCAGUGGCUUUGGAGGCUGAGGCAAGAGGAUUUUGAGUUCAAAAACAGCCUCAGCAAAAGCAAGGUGCUAAGCAACUCAGUGAGACCCUGUCUCUA